AAGAAGAAAGGGGAAGCAGGUGGAAAAGCAAUUAAAAAAAAAUCAGCAUCUCUCUCUAGCCUAUUAUCUCCUGUUAGACACAGCCCAGAAAAUGAAUAGAGACAAGUCCUGGCUGGGUCUGGGUUCAGAAACAUAAUAGAAGGAUUCAUCUAAACUGUCAGCCACUGUGGAGGAAGUGAACCUUCUAGAUCCUGCUGACUCAUACAAUGAGUUUUGUGUGGACCAUCAGACAAAAGGGCUGACUGGUGAAGGUGGCUGUUGUCUGGAAAGUCCUCCCAGCUCUCCUCUAAUUAUGUCAUAAGGACUGGAGGCCCCUUAGCCUGCUUGUGAUAACACGCAAGGAAAUACGGGCCAACUCUUCACAUGAGCACAAGAUAUUUCCAUGCUAGCCUUUUGCAAGUAACAACAGAGAGAGCUCUGUGCAGUUUUCACUGGAAUGCCUAUGGAUUGCUUGUGUCAUAACUGUAAUCUAAAGAGUUGUCCAUUUGUUGAUUCCUUUGUGUUUGUAUUGGUAGAAUUGCCACUAUCAAACCAAGAUCUUUAGCUGUCUUUGUAUCAACUUCUUUGGAGCUUAUGUGAUUUUCCAGAAAAUUUCCAAGGCAUAGUUUUGUCCCUAAGUCCCAUGAAUAUGUAAUAUUUUGUGUCUCUCUAUUAAAAUAGCACUUUU
rnacentral:lncRNA from 1 species